CUCAUCAAACUUGGCCCUUAUCAACUUACCUAAUCACACCCAACAAAUUCACAAGGUCCUUUCUCUCUCUCUCUCUCUCUCUCUGGGUUAAAGGGGUUUCAAGCUUCUUUUCUUUUUACAUAGAUUCAAGAUAUGGGAAGUAAGGCACCAACCUGGGCUGAUCAAUGGGGUGGCAUCGACGACGAUGAUGACAAGCCCGUGAAUAGCAGUAAGAAGGGAAGGUUAGGCGGUGGCAGCAGCAAGAAGAUGGAAGAGGUGAAGACGGCAGCUUCAGCGGGGUUCGACAAGGCUAAGGCGGCUGCAGUGGUGGGAGCCCAGAAGGUGAAGAGUGGAACCUCUGUGGGAAUCAAAUGGGUCAAAAACCAGUACCACAAAAAAUGCUCUUCUACUAAAUGACCAUGCUCAUGUUUUUUUGCUACACCUCCAAAAUAAAUUAAGGCUAGAAUUGAAAUUCUAGGAUUUUACUUUUUUUUUUGCUGAAUUGGAUUGAAUGAAUACUUAAAUUCUAUUUUGAGCCAUUAUGUAAAUUUACAUUGCCAUUUA